GUGGAUUUUAAUGGCUUUCUGUCAUUUCUGAGGAGCUUGGCAGUUACUAGGGAACUUCUAAUAGAGCCACAAGCUACAAAUAGGAAUGAUGCUUCGGCCAAAGAAAAGGGCAUCUGGUAUCAAACUUUAAGCUGUUCAAGCAGAUUGAGGUACAAAGACUUGGACCUGAAUUGGCAGAGUACCUAUUGUGCUGGUGCUUAAGGAGAGCAUCCAGGAAGAGCACACACCAACUGCUGCAGCUUCCUGAGCCUGACGAAGGGUUUUUGAACCCGAAAGCUUGCUUAAUAACUAUUCUCCAACCAUUUGGGUUGGUCUAAUAAAAGAUAUCAAA